AUGCCCAUCUAUCAGGAGUGCUUUGAUUGUAUGUUCCUGCAUGGUAGGGGGUUGGACUGGAUAGUCUUUGAGGGGUCACUCCAAACCUUAGGAUUGUAUGAUGAUGUUGUUGUUAUUAUUAUUAUUAUUAUUAUUAGUAUUAGUAUUGAAAGGCUGGGUGGUCAUCUGUUGGGAGUGCUUGGAUUGUGUCCUGCAUGGCAGAAUUGGGUUGACUGGAUGGCCUUUAGGGGUGUCUCCUAACUGUCUGAUACUAUGAUUCGAUGUGUAUUAUUAUUGUGCAGAUAUUGGAUGGCCAUCUGUCAGGAGUGGUUGGAUUGUGUCCUCCUGCAUGAUAUAAGGAAGUUGAACUGGAUGAUCCUUAGGGGUAUCUGCUAACCUUAGGAUUGUAUGAUAUUCUUAUUCUUAUUCUUAUUAUUAUUGAGAGGCUGGCUGGCCAUCUGUUGGACGUGCUUGGAUUGUGUCUUCUAUGGCAGAAUUGGGUUGGACUGGAUUACCACAGUAAUUAUUUCAUAUUACAGUAGAAUCCCACUUAUCCAACAUUCGCUUUUCCAGUGUUCUGGAUUAUCCAACACAGUCUGCCUUUUAGUAGUCAAUGUUAUUGUAGUCAAUGUUUUAAAUUCAUUGUGAUAUUUUGGUGCUAAAUUUGUAAAUACAGUAAUUACAACAUAGCAUUACUGAGCAUUGAACUACUUUUUCUGUCAAAUUUGUUGUAUAAUUUGUAUAAUCAUUACCUAAUUUGAUGUUUAAUCGGCUUUUCCUGAAUCCCUUCUUAUUAUCCAACAUAUUCACUUAUCCAACGUUCUGCCGGCCUGUUUAUGUUGGAUAAGUGAGACUCUACUGUAUAUUUAUAAUCUUCUAUUAUCUGCUUAGAAGUGGAUUAUAUGAGGCCCCUUCUACACAGCUGUAUAAAAUGCACACUGAAGUGAAUUUUCUGGCAGUGUGGACUCAAGAUAAUCCAGUUCAAAGCAGAUAAUAUAAGAUUAUAAAUGGGUAAUAUAGCUGUGUGGAAGGGCUUUGAGUCUACACUGCCAUAUAUUAUUGACAUUUAUUUCCAUCUACAUGGAGGCAAAAAAAAGUUUUAAAUUAAAUU
rnacentral:lncRNA from 1 species